AGAGUUUGAUCCUGGCUCAGGAUGAACGCUGGCGGCGUGCCUAAUACAUGCAAGUCGAACGCUUCACUUCGGUGAAGAGUGGCGAACGGGUGAGUAAUACAUAAGUAACCUGGCAUCUACAGGGGGAUAACUGAUGGAAACGUCAGCUAAGACCGCAUAUGUGUAGAGAUCGCAUGAACUCUAUAUGAAAAGUGCUACGGGACUGGUAGAUGAUGGACUUAUGGCGCAUUAGCUGGUUGGUAGGGUAACGGCCUACCAAGGCGACGAUGCGUAGCCGACCUGAGAGGGUGACCGGCCACACUGGGACUGAGACACGGCCCAGACUCCUACGGGAGGCAGCAGUAGGGAAUUUUCGGCAAUGGGGGAAACCCUGACCGAGCAACGCCGCGUGAAGGAAGAAGUAAUUCGUUAUGUAAACUUCUGUCAUAGAGGAAGAACGGUGGAUAUAGGGAAUGAUAUCCAAGUGACGGUACUCUAUAAGAAAGCCACGGCUAACUACGUGCCAGCAGCCGCGGUAAUACGUAGGUGGCGAGCGUUAUCCGGAAUUAUUGGGCGUAAAGAGGGAGCAGGCGGCACUAAGGGUCUGUGGUGAAAGAUCGAAGCUUAACUUCGGUAAGCCAUGGAAACCGUAGAGCUAGAGUGUGUGAGAGGAUCGUGGAAUUCCAUGUGUAGCGGUGAAAUGCGUAGAUAUAUGGAGGAACACCAGUGGCGAAGGCGACGAUCUGGCGCAUAACUGACGCUCAGUCCCGAAAGCGUGGGGAGCAAAUAGGAUUAGAUACCCUAGUAGUCCACGCCGUAAACGAUGAGUACUAAGUGUUGGGAGUCAAAUCUCAGUGCUGCAGUUAACGCAAUAAGUACUCCGCCUGAGU
rnacentral:rRNA from 1 species